CCCUUAGAUGUUCUGGGCCGCACACGCGCUACACUGAAGGAGGCAGCGUGUACUCCUGGAUCGAAAGAUUUGGGUAACCCGCGAAUCUCCUUCGUGCUAGGGAUUGAGGUUUGCAAUUAUCCUUCAUGAACGAGGAAUUCCCAGUAAGUGCAAGUCAUAAGCUUGCGCUGACUACGUCCCUGCCCUUUGUACACACCGUCCGUCGCUACUACCGAUUGAAUGAUUUAGUGAGGACUUCGGACUGGGACCGAUGCGGCUUUCGGGCUGCGUCGGUAUUCUGGAAAGAUGUCCAAACUGUAUCAUUUAGAGGAAGUAAAAGUCGUANCA
rnacentral:rRNA from 1 species